CAGUAGCCACGGUAAUACGAAGGGGGCUAGCGUUGUUCGGAUUUACUGGGCGUAAAGCGCACGUAGGCGGACUUUUAAGUCAGGGGUGAAAUCCCGGGGCUCAACCCCGGAACUGCCUUUGAUACUGGAAGUCUUGAGUAUGGUAGAGGUGAGUGGAAUUCCGAGUGUAGAGGUGAAAUUCGUAGAUAUUCGGAGGAACACCAGUGGCGAAGGCGGCUCACUGGUCCAUUACCGACGCUGAGGUGCGAAAGCGUGGGGAGCGAACAGGAUUAGAUACCCGCGUAGUCCCUGUCUCUUAUAC
rnacentral:rRNA from 1 species